UACGUAGGUGGCAAGCGUUGUCCGGAAUUAUUGGGCGUAAGGCGCGCGCAGGCGGUUUCUUAAGUCUGAUGUGAAAGCCCCCGGCUCAACCGGGGAGGGUCAUUGGAAACUGGGGAACUUGAGUGCAGAAGAGGAAAGUGGAAUUCCAAGUGUAGCGGUGAAAUGCGUAGAGAUUUGGAGGAACACCAGUGGCGAAGGCGACUUUCUGGUCUGUAACUGACGCUGAGGCGCGAAAGCGUGGGGAGCAAACAGG
rnacentral:rRNA from 1 species